GAUCUAUAAAUAUUAACUAUUACCAUCAUCAUCACUUAGGAGUAAUAAUUCUUAUAUUUCGUUUUUCACCUAAUAACCUAUGAACUUACUGUCUUUCCCUGCCCUCAUGUGGCUCUCGCUCUGAUAAUCCCAGCACCUAGCAUAGUGCCCUAGCUAUCUGGUUUUAAUGAAUGGGACAGGUAUAUUCCUUCACCUAUACACUGUAGUUCUAUUUAUAUUGCAUUAACCUAUUUGGGGUUAAGAUUGACUUACAUGUAUUUACGUGUGAAAAAGAAGUGUCUAGGCUUUCUACAAAAACACUUAAGAAAAAAACUUGGUGGAGGUAGAUGAACUACAAUUGGCAACAUGUUGACAGUUAUUAAAGUUGAUGAUGGAUACAUGGAAGUUUCUCACACUCUGUUCUUUCUCCUCUUUUCUGUAUGCACGAGAACAUAUAUAAUAAAAAGUUUUGAAAAAUCAAAACUGGGUACUCAACUACAGGUCCAGAUCUUUUUUUCUUUCCUAAUCGACAGCUUUUAAUAUAUGUAUCUACUCAAUCUUUGAGAGUUUUUAAAACAUUUUUGUAAUUUAUGGAGUGUUUAACAUUAAAAAAACUACAAGGAAACUUAAAUUAUAACUGCUUGUAAAAGAAAUGAAUGUGUCAAAUAUUUUAACAAUUUUGGUUUCAGGCCUUGGAAUAAGAAUGUUUGCAAGGAGUCUAAAAAAAACUUAUCCAGAUUUAUAAUCUUAAGAAUUUCUAGCUGUGCUAAAAUUCAGUAUCUUUUUUUUCACCUCACAGUUACUUUUUAAAAAAUUUUGUGGUGAGAACAUUUAAGAUCUACUGUCUUAGCAACUUUAAAAUAUACAGCACGUGUUAACUAUAGUCACCAUGCUGUAUAUUAGAUCCCCAGAACUUAUUCAUUUUAUAACUGGAAGUUUGUACCAUUUGACUGUCUCCCCAUUUCCCCCACCCCCGGCCCCUGGCAACCACCAGUCUACUCUUUCUUUCUAUGAGUUUGGCCUUUCUGGGUUCCCACAUGUAAGUGCAACCAUACAGUAUUUGUUUUUCUAUGUAUGACUUACUUUAGUUAGCAUAUUGCCAUCAAAAUUUUAUCCAAAUGGCAGUGUUUCCUUCUUUCCUUCUUUUAUGGCUGAUUAAUAUUCCUCUGUGUGUCUUUGUGUGUGUGUGUGUGUGUGUACAUAGAUAGAUGAGUAUCACAUUUUUUUAAUCCAGUCAUCCAUUGACAGACACUUAGGUUGUUUCCGUGUUUUGGCUAUUAUGAAUAAUGCUGCAGUGAACAUGUGGGGUGCAGAUACCUCUUUGUAAAAUUCAUUAUCUUUUAAACAAAUGAUUUCUAAUGGGUGAACAAAGGAAGAAGAAAAAGAAUUAUAAGAACUAUAUUUAGAAUGCUGGUAUUAUAUUCAUCACUAAGAUAAAAAUCUUAUCUUGCCUUAUUCUAUCUUCAUUAGGGAAGAAUGCCAACCUCUGGGUGCCAGGUGUUGGUGCCAUCCAUAGGUGGCAUCCAUAGGUGCCAGAGUAAUCCUCGGCACAGAUCAGAGUGGUCAGAUUAAACCUCAGCACAGCAAAUAACAGGGACAUCAGCAUGAUAGCUCUGUUUCUCAUGCCCCCAAGUCCCAUGAAAUGAUGUGAUGGACCCAGAUGGAGACCCUGUGCUCAGCGAGUUGCAUCAUGGGUGAGAAACCCAGGGCCAAGGGUUCAACACCUUAAUUCUCAUCAGUCAGAUUGAGAGCUUGUUUGGAGGUUCCAGCAGGGAAGCACAGAUAGUCGUAUACCUCUGACUGAUGAACAGUCCUCCUCUAUCGGAGAAAGUCGUCCUCUUCAACCAAGUGUGCAGCUUCAGGAGUGACGUACAUGGAGUGGUGAGGUAGGAAGGGAGGCCUGCCUAGCCAGCCAGAUCAGCCGAAUCAACCCUGGCAAUCAAUGGAGUGACAGAUGUCACAGCCAGAUCACCCUCAUAUCAUCAUCAGUCAGACUGAAACAAGAUUACACUGGUGCACACGUGAGAAGGGAGCUGAAGUGUCAGGCACAGCCGAGCAGUCCUGCUUUCAUCGGGGCAUCGGACAGAGCUGAAUAGUGCUGCCAUCCCGAGGGUGUCCAGCACAGGGGAAUAGUUCCAAUCUGGCCACACCCACAGGAGUUUUUCUGUUUUCCUAGCUCAAGGAUGAGAUGACAAACUCAGCAGCAGGGUCAUAGUGUCAACUGUAGCUGCUGCUUGACUCAUGUGAACCACGUGAUUGUUUUGUGAAUGCUGCAGUGCUGGAUGAAGGGGACAAAGAAAGCAUUAAAUGUUCCCACCCCUUCCCCCCGCUACCCGCCGCACACACCUCACAGGGAUGCAGGCGUUCCACCAUCAGGUACCAGGGUUAUUGUUCUCUUUCCAUGGCCAUGAAGGUCAUUUGUUCUAAGUCAGUAGCCACUAUGUCUCUCUUCACUCACCUGACUCCUACCUCCAUGCAGACCUUCUUCCAUUUCAGAUGCAUGCUGUGAUGGAACUUGGUAGAACUAAGAGUUCCCCCACCGUCAAGCAGGCCACUGUAGGGAUACUCCAGGGCUCAUAAGUUUCACCAACUGACUCUUAUCCUCAUGGCCAGCAGUCUUCCUCCCCAACAACUGAAACCAAGUGGUAGCAGAAGCAACAGAUGCAGUCACCUUCCCUUUGUGGUCCAACUGCCACCUUAAGAUGAAGCCAGUGAGGCUUCCCAGGUACUAGGACCAGAGGGGGAAAACGGUGAGGAGUGACUAGAGAUUGUCAGGGUGGAAUCACAAACACAGAGUCCCAGACUCCCGUUGCUCCCAACCUUUCAGUCCUGACCUUCCCUACACGGCUGUUCCAAAGGAGAUGCUCCCUUGGAAGCCUAAUAGGCAGUAUGGCUCCAUUCAGUCUCACCCAGGUGUGGACUCUUUCUACCAGUGUCUGCAUGGGCCACAUGAAUGUGCUAUUGGCCUGUAGCAAUGGCUUUUCAGAGUUCACAGCCCCACAGAGCAGUGUUUUUACUACUAGGUGCCUGACCUGAGAGCUAGAGCAUUAGCCACAGCCUGAGUCAGUUGAACAUAUAACAUGGAUGGUCCUUAGCAGUACCGCCUGAGAGAAGAGUAAUGCCUAUAAGCUUGGCCCAUUGUACUGACCAGUCCUUACCACAGUUUUUCUUCCAGACCUGUUGGGGACACACAGGUGCUGCCACCCAGGACACAUCAUCAGCUUUUAGUUUGGCUGAACCAUCAGUAAACCAAGCCCAAGGACCCUUAGGGACACUCUGGAAGUGGGGUCCCUAGGUAGCUGGAGGCUGGCCCUAUGAGUGAUCUAGGAGGGGGAGCUACGAUGCCCCUAAACCUGUGGCCCCAAUAUCUUCAUGUGAGGAGGACACACCUGUGGGGCUAAGCACACUAUUUUCAUUAAGUAAGAAAAGACUGUUGUGCCUUUCCAACACUGGUACCAUUGAGUGGACCCAACCUAAGAGAAUAUCUAGGUGCAGUGUUACCUGGAAGUACUGGGUAAGAUGCUCAGUCUCCCCAAGUGCCCACCUAAUAGCAGACCAGUAGCUGUUUUGCAAAUGGAAUGUUGUGGGUAGGUGCUAGGGUGGCAGCAAGUCCAGAGUCCCAGGGGAUGCCUCCAAGCAGAAGCAGCCUCCCUUCACCAGAGGUGUAUGACAAGGGUCCAAAAAGCCAGACUCAGAUGGUUACAGUUAAUUCCCUUCCUCAUAUUACUUCAUUUCCAAUUCUGGCCAAUUGAACGCAUGGCUGUGAACGAGCUCUGGUAUUCAAGUCAUAAAAAUUUUUAUCCUGCUUCCUUGCCCUCCCUUCACCUCAUUGUACCGUCAUUAGAGACUAAGGCCUCUGGUCUGCCCUGGGGGUGGAGAAACUUCAACCCCCACCCUUAGUCCCCUUUCUCCUUAAAGGCAGUUAAAUCAGAAUACAUAGUUCAUGGUCAAGUGGUAAAGGUGCUGAAGGAAGAAUUUGUUUUAAGGCAACCACUUGGCUUCUUAGUUCCUCCAGUAGAGAGAAUGAUUUCUGUGGAGGGAUCUGGUUUCGCAGAGGCACUCUCAGUUUCAACUGGGUCGAUGACUAACUGGCUGCUGCCCCCUCCCCCAUAGCUCAAUAUCCGGACCAAAUCUCUUUGGUCCUCACCCUCUCCAUGUCUUCUGUGCUUAGCCCCUGCUUGAACAGCCAUAUCCACGUUGCCUUAUGGGUCCCUUUGGAGGGAAUUUGAUAUUCCCUUCCUUAGUUUUGUCUUGCAUUGCAGUCUUUGCCUUGUUUGGGUUGCCCAUCUUUAUCCCAGGCAUUUUUUUGGCUCAGGGUCAGCAGUGCCCACACAGAGGGCCUUUGAGGACUAAAAACAAAGGUAGUGGAGUCUUCCACCUGCAGGGGGCAAACCACAACACCCUUUCAGCCAUUCUCUGAAGUGAGGGGCUCAUCAUGAAGGCUUUCAUUGUGUCCAUUUUGCAGUCAGUCUGGAGCAUCUACAGCACUCAGGCUUUGAAUAACUUCUUCCAUGGUGUUCCAUGGCAUUUUUAAAAUCAGCAUUGGGGAAAGCUUUCUGGUUUGGCCAUAAUGUCAUCAUUGAAACAGAAAUUCACAGGUGCCCCAAUAUUUAAAAAUUUUUAAAAAUUCAAAGUAGCAAGUCUUGUUGAGGGCAUAAUUGUGUCCCAGUUACAUAGUAGCUUAAAGCAUGUGAGACAGCCUAGCUGCUGCCAUUCAUUCUCGCUCCCUCAUCACACAGACAUACCAGCCAGGUCUUCAACAGCUCUCCAGUCUGUCAGCCAAAGCCAUCCCGGGUGUCCCUCACCAGAAUGGGUGGAUUGAAAACUGAUUUUGUUGGACUACAGGUUUGUCCCUGGUGAUCUUAGGCUGAUUAGGGUAGGAUCAUUUGGAGUUUCUACCCAGGUAUGGUCAAGCCCCUCACUGCUAUGGACCAGCACCCUUCAUUUAGUAAUAAUGUACACAUCUGCAGCCCCUUGCAUCGCAUCCACUUGAGGCAUCUCUAUCCCUAAUAACAUGGAUUUUGCACUGAAUCUGGACCCUGAUGAUCUCUUUGGCUCUUUGGUUGUCAGAUUUGUUAUACCAUCCUGGGAUUUUAGAGUUCUGAUCAAUCUGUGGUGGCCUCUGAUGAAAUAUGCCUUUUAAUACCAUCCUCUGUGUUCUGCAUGUCCAUCAUCUUGUAUGUUGUCUGAGAACUUAGAGAUUGGCCUUGGGAGAGAUCUUUGUAAAUAUUCUGUCCUCCAGGAGGCUGCUGAUUUCUCCAGUCAGCAGUUGAAGUGAUUUAACAUUAGAGUCAAGGUCCCAAGUCAUUCAUAAGUGAUAUUUUUAUGUUUAACUGAGUGUCAGCUAAUGUCCCGUGGGGUUUUUGGCUAAUGAACAUACUAACUUCUGGCAUAACUUCACUGAGGACAAUUUAGAAUUGUAAUGGCCACUUUAGGCAACUUUGACACGAAUAAGAUUGUUCGUCUGAGAGGGGCUUUAGAACAAAAAGAAAAAAAACUCACGAGGAGACUACCUUGUCUAAAAAAAAGAAAUCACAUUAUUUUCCCAUACAUUGAGUAUUAAUAAGCACUGAAUUUUCCUGGUAUGACUUGAUAAAAUUACCAAGGCCCUAAGUUAUUGGUUAAAACACCUCCGAUGACUGUUGUGGGUAGGUGUAUAUAACUGUCAAAAUGGGUGUUUAGCUUUUGCAGUGAUAAUUUCAUUCUGAAACCAGUUCCUUCUCUCCUUUUACAGUUUUUCUUUUUCUCUUUGCCUCACUUGGGAAGUUUUAAGGAUUAUCAUAAAAAUUAUUUUGUCAUUAGGUGCAUAUUCUAGGAAUAUCUAGUACAGAUAGUCAUAAAUGUCUAUGAGAAAGAAAAAACAUAAUAAACUUUCUUUCGCUUUAGAAAACAUGACAGACUUAAAUAGUGGCCUUUUUUAGUAGACUUACAAGGUGAGAAGAGUGUCUUCUUUUGGUUUUAAUCUGUAAAAUUAUUGCAAGUCAGUGUUCUACUUAAGCAGGCUCCAUGCUCAACACAGAGCCCAAUGCAGGGCUUGAUGCCACGAGUGUGGGAUCAUGACCUGAGCUGAAAUCAAGAGCCGGAUCCUCAACCAACCGAGCCACCCAGGCCCCCUAUGAAUAUAAUCUAAAAAGUGUAUUCAGGGAAUCUUGGCUAGAAGGUUCUUGAUUUCCUGUCUAUUGGUUUUCUCUGGGUCUGGAGAAAGCCAAAGUUGGCUGGGGAGAUUAAAGGAGAUAAUAAAAAUAAUUAUACUAUAUGCAAUAUAAUAAUUACAUAAAACAUGAAUAUGUACACAGGAAAAUGGAUAUUAUUUGUUAGGCAAAUUAUUAAGUUUAUUAAAUUAUUAAACUUAUUAAAAUAGUAAUUUCAAUGUAAUUCAUAUUUUGUUUAAUAUGUCAACACUAAUUAUGUCUUAAAAUUAAAGCCCUUAAUUUUAUUGUGUAUUUACAUUGCUAUAUGUUUACAUACAAACACAUUCAUAUGAAGGUAUAUUAAGGAGUGAUGUCACUGCACGUUGCAGAGUAGGGAACUCCAGGGCUGCAUCCUCCCCAGAAGAAACCAAUGAGCUGGCAAAAACUAUCAUAAUCAGCUUUUGCAAAACACUAGAAUCGAGUCAGUUAUAACUACCAGAGGAAGGCUUGAUGAAGACAACAGCUGCUGUGCUGUGGAAAGAGAACAUAGUGGCCUUUUAAAUUGCCCACUACGGUCCCCCACACCCUAGAUUGGGAGCACCAAGAGGACAGCUGUCCACACUCUUAGUGCAGGUUGCUAGUGCCUAGGAGAGCAAUAUGGACCUUAUUCUCAAAUAAUUGUGCUUGUGGGUUUAGAAUUGUCUGGUAGCUCUCUAAAGGACCUGCACAAUGUUUACCUUUGUUUCUGUCAACUCAGAGCAUUCCUGGACCUGGGGCACCUUCCCGAGCAGCUUUUGCCAAAAACAUUUAAAGGCCCACAUAUUGGCUAUAGCAGCCUGGGAGCAAGGGACAACAGUCAGGACAACAAAUAGACCAUAAAGCCUAGGAAGGAAGAGAUUGGGGAAGGAGAUACAUGGAGAAUUAGGGACUUUCAGAAGCCCCCACAUAUACCUGGGAAUCAGGAAGGCCUCAUGUGUGCCCAGGGCUGGAUACAUCCUCAAAAAAACCCUGAAAAGACCCUAAGCUUUUACCUCCAGCUCGACUUCAGGCUCCAUACAAUCAGGAUGUGAAGGCUAAGGCAGAGUCACAAAUGGCCUGGCUAAGCAUUGGAGAAGUGCUCCCACAUUGAGCCAAUCUUAGAAGACUGGAAGAGUAGUUUAUUUUUUUCUUUUUCCUUCCUUCUUCCCCUUUGUUCUUUCUUCCUCCUCUUUCUCUUCCUCUUUCUUCUCUCCCAAUAUUUACAGAAACUCUUUAAAAUACUAACUGACCACAAAGCUAACAAAACAGAGGCUUAGGUAGCCAUAUGUGACAAAGAAUACAGAUUUUACAAAUAUAGUUUAGAAAAGUUACUAAACAAGCAACAGCAUAGAUCAAUGGAAUAGAGUUGAGAAUUCAGAAAGAAACCUGUAUAUCUAUGGCCAGCUGAUUUUUGACAAGAGUGCCAAAACCAUUGAAUGAGGAAAGAAUUGUCUCUUCAAUAAAUGGUGCUGGAAAACUAGGUAUACACAUGCAAAAGAAUGAAAUUGGACCCUUACCUUAUACUAUAUACAAAAAUUAACUCAAGAAUGGAUGAAAGAUCUAAAUGUAAAAGCUAAAACUAUAAAACUCUUAGAAGAAAACAUAGGGGUAAAAUUUCAUGACUUUAGAUUUGACAAUGGAUUCUUAAAUAUGAUACCAAAAGCACAGACAAUAAAAGAAGAGGGAGAUAAAUUGGACUCCAUCAUAAUUAGAAACUUUUGCAAAAAUGAACUAUUGGGACCUCAUCAAAAUAAAAACUUCUGCACAGCGAAGGAACAAUCAGCAAAACUAAAAGGCAACCGACAGAAUAGGAGAAGAUAUUUGCAAAUGACAUAUCAGAUAAAGGGUUAGCAUCCAAAAUCUAUAAAGAACUUAUCAAACUCAACACCCAAAAAACAAAUAAUCCAGUGAAGAAAUGGGCAAAAGACAUGAAUAGACACUUCUCCAAAGAAGACAUCCAGAUGGCCAACAGACACAUGACAAAAUGCUCAACAUCACUCAUCAUCAGGGAAAUACAAAUCAAAACCACAAUGAGAUACCACCCCACACCUGUCAGAAUGGCUAACAUGAACAACUCAGGCAACAACAGAUGUUGGUGAGGAUGUGGAGAGAGAGGAUCUCUUUUGCAUUGUUGGUGGGAAUGCAAACUGGUGCAGCCACUCUGGAAAACAGUAUGGAGGUUCCUCAAAAAAUUAAAAA